CUGCCCAGCAGAGAGACCCGCGAAC
rnacentral:rRNA from 2 species